AAUGCACACAAACGAGUUUUAUGUUCAUCGCGUAAGCUAAAACGGCCACGAAACGCUCAUGUGAAGUCCAAACACGAACGACCGUCCCUCACCAAAAGCGCUUAUCUGAAAAGCUCGGAUCCACAAUGCGACUUGCUUCUUCGCUUCAACAUCAUCUAUGUGCUUUGGAGUAUCAACAACAUUGUGGGUUCAUGGAUUGCGUUUCACCAUCAUCCCUUCGCUGUCGUCCAUGAAACAUACAUAAAGAAAAAACGGUAUCAGAGACAAAUCGAAGAACUUACUGGAUAGAAUCUCUGAUCGUGAAUAUGUCCUUGGUUACCAUGGAAUACAUUGGAAUUGGCUUGCUUAUGGACAAUGGAUUGUUUGGAAUUAUUUUGAAUAUAUGCUAUGUUCAUGGUUUGGGAAUCUUGGGACUGUUUGUAUAGAUUUUUAGGUGUGGAAAAUGGCAUGUAUAGAUUAUGUGUAUGGUUGGAUUGAAUUGGGAAAUUGACUUGUACAUGGUUGAAUUUGUAAUGCUUAUGGAAGAUGGCUUGAAGAAUCAUGACUUGGCCUUGUAAAAACUUGAAAUUGUAAUGGUUUGUGUUUGUAUUGAAAUGUAAUUUGGGAAUUGAAAUGGUAAUGGAAAUGAUGCUUAAUGAA